rnacentral:rRNA from 1 species
UACGUAGGGGGCUAGCGUUGUCCGGAAUCAUUGGGCGUAAAGCGCGUGUAGGCGGCCCGGUAAGUCCGCUGUGAAAGUCGGGGGCUCAACCCUCGGAUGCCGGUGGAUACUGUCGGGCUAGAGUACGGAAGAGGCGAGUGGAAUUCCUAGUGUAGCGGUGAAAUGCGCAGAUAUCAGGAGGAACACCAAUUGCGAAGGCAGCUCGCUGGGACGUCACUGACGCUGAGACGCGAAAGCGUGGGGAGCAAACAGG